rfam:Moraxella cuniculi DSM 21768 genome assembly, contig: Ga0002152_102
UCAUCACCACCAUUUUUCCUGAUUCUUUCGGGCAGUUGGUGUGUUCGGAAGAAAAUUCCGAGCGAGUUUGAAUUUCACCCUAUUUUGACCCCUCGGAAACCAAAAUUCCGAGGGGUUUUCUUU